UAGGGAAUCUUCGGCAAUGGACGAAAGUCUGACCGAGCAACGCCGCGUGAGUGAAGAAGGUUUUCGGAUCGUAAAACUCUGUUGGUAGAGAAGAACGUUGGUGAGAGUGGAAAGCUCAUCAAGUGACGGUAACUACCCAGAAAGGGACGGCUAACUACGUGCCAGCAGCCGCGGUAAUA
rnacentral:rRNA from 1 species